rnacentral:lncRNA from 10 species
UAUUCCGUGAUAUUGAAUAAGUCUCACAAGAUCUGGUGGGUUUAUCAGGGGUUUCUGCUUUUGCUUCUUCCUCAGUUUCUCUUGCUGCCGCCGUGUAAGAAGGACCUUUUGCCUCCCACCAUGAUUCUAAGUCCUCCCCAGCCACGUGGAACUGUAAGUCCAAUUAUACCUCUUUUUCUUCCCAGUCUUGGGUAUGUCUUUAUCAGCAGUGUGAAAACAGACUAACAUAAUUUUGCAUUCUGCAACUUUACUGAAUUCAUUUAUCAGCUCUAAAAGUUUCCGGUAGAGUCUUUAGGUUAUUCUAUACAUACGAUCAUAUCUACAAACAGGAAUUGGGAAGAAGGAUAAAUACAUACAUGGAGGAGCAAUAGAAGUCUACCUUAUGGAGCAUGUGGAAGGUAAAGCAGCUACGGCUUAGAAAGGCUGAGGAACUUGCCUGAGGCUAUCCAGCUACUGAGAGAUAAACUGGGGUGUGAAUUCAGAGAGCUUGACUCCUGAGGCUCCACCUGUGCCUAUAAUUCCAGCAUGACACCUGGUAAUGGGCACUCAGUAUAUGCUUGUUGAUCUAAACUCAGUGUGUGUGUGUGUGUCUGUGUGUGUCUGUGUGUGUGUGUGUGUGUGUGAGUUUGUGAAAGAUGUUGAAUAUUCAAUGAAAUUUAAUGAGUAUGAAUUGAACACUUAUCCUGGGCCUAGAACUGUUGGCAGUUGCUUUUGAGAGUUACAGAGUACAUUUAUGGUAAUUACUGCACUUACGAAUUUUGCUAUGUGGUUUGGGAGUAUCUGAAGUAUCUUAUAGUAGGUCUCUAAACUGGUAAUAAUAAAAAGUUCAAAUAUAUUAUUUUGUUACACUCCACGAGGAUCAAACUUCAUCAUGACAUGAUUAUAAUUUGAAAUAUGAGUAAGAAAUACGUAGGGUCAUGAUCUCUAUAAGCCCAUUCUUUGCUUCUUAAUUAAAUUUUGCAGCUGAUAGAAACAUUGAAAGCAGAGCAUUAGCUUAUAAAUAAUUCAGAAAAUGGUUGGUAACUCCCAUAGUAUAUGUUUUAUGAGUUUUGUUUAAGAAGAGUCUAUUUCGUGUUAGGUAAAGUUGGCCAUUGUUUAGAAUAAAGACCUGCAUUACUUUCUAUUCUAAAUUAAACUGUUAAUGGGAGUGCUUGCAAAGGCCUUGGUGCUUUUUUUUCUGUUUAAUAGGAGCAACAUCACUUUGGAUCAAUUAUUUAAUUUCCUUAUGUCAGAGUUCUUUCAAUUUAAAGGAAAAUAUUUCCUUUCCUCAUUCCUUUUUCUCUGAGGAUGAACCAGACAUUGGAAGUUGUAGCCUGGGAUUGUACUGGAGCUCUCACUGUGGUUGCAUUCUUUCUUCACAUUCAGCGUCCUCCUUAAAGCACACAUUUUCACGUACAUCUAUUAAAUUACCUGGGAGAGAGUUCUAGACACUAUCAGUCAGUAAAUCCAGUUGUCUCAUUUGUCAGUGGUCUCUCCUCUUCCUUGUCCCUCCUAUCUUGCCGGCAAAUGGCUCUGUGGGAAACCCAUUCUGCUUCCUGUUUAAACUGUAGAAACAAUUCAUUUAAUUCAAUAUCUAGCUUUUGAUUCUAUUUGCAAAAAUACAGUUGUAAAUAGUUCCAUUCAUUAGCCAAUUUUUUUUUUGGUCUGUUAAGCAUAUUUGGGUCAUUUUAUAGUUAACCUUGGCUGAGGGAGAGAAGUUCUUUGAAGCUCUUACUUACUUACUUGUGAAUUUUUGGGUCUGAUAUGGAGGCUUACAUGUGCCUUGGGAGCUUUGAGCUGACAUGUUAGAAGUCAGUCUACAUUGAAGCUGCCAUGCUGAAGAACUCAUGUGGGAGAACACACAGAAAUCGAGAUGCCUGAGGAGCCCCAGCUGUACCAGCCUCUAGCUCUCUGAGUCUUCUCAGCAAGAACUGUCAAACAUGAGAGUGAAGCAGCCUUCAGAUGACUCUGGCCCCAGUCUUCAAGUGCCCUAGCUGGUGCCAAGUGGAGCAGACAAGCUGCCACCCACCAAGCCCUUCCCAAAUUGCAGACUAGGAACAAAAUAAAUGUUAUUUUAAGCCACUAAAUUUUGGUUUGUUAUAUAUUAUAGCAAUAGAAAACCAGAACCCCUUUUUUUAAUGCCACUGUUAGUUGGAUAUUCUGUUACUUGCAGCCAAAAGCAUCCUUAUGUGAAAUACUUAGUAGUAGAGAAGAUUAAAAGAA